AGGAAGGUGGGGAUGACGUCAAAUCAUCAUGCCCCUUAUGAUUUGGGCUACACACGUGCUACAAUGGACAAUACAAAGGGCAGCGAAACCGUGAGGUCAAGCAAAUCCCAUAAAGUUGUUCUCAGUUCGGAUUGUAGUCUGCAACUCGACUACAUGAAGCUGGAAUCGCUAGUAAUCGUAGAUCAUCAUGCUACGGUGAAUACGUUCCCGGGUCUUGUACACACCGCCCGUCACACCACGAGAGUUUGUAACACCCGAAGCCGGUGGAGUAACCUUUUAGGAGCUAGCCGUCGAAGGUGGGACAAAUGAUUGGGGUGAAGUCGUAACAAGGUAGCCGUAUCGGAAGGUGCGGCUGGAUCACCUCCUUU
rnacentral:rRNA from 1 species